rnacentral:lncRNA from 1 species
CACGGGAAAUGACCAUGUAUAUGAGCUCCAAUUGUUAGGGUCACGCAAUUAACCGCUACUACUGAAUGCUUACCAUACCAAAGAACACUUAACUUUUCCUCCUACAGUCCACUCUCUCAUAUCAAUACAAUAACAUCCAUGACAACGAUUUCAGUACCUUGUGUAAUUCACAAACACACAAGCAUAUCUCAAACCCUGGAAUGAACAACUUCCAAUCUAUAGAAUCUAAU